rnacentral:lncRNA from 1 species
AGAUUGUCUGAAAUUUGAGAAGGCAUCAAGAGUUCAUAGUAUUAGUCAAUUAUAAUUUGAUUCUCUUUUUCCCAGUUGUAGUCAUACAUAAAAGAAACUAUAAUGAAAAAAAAUAGGUACUAACUUCUACGAAGGCGUUACUAGUUACAGUUCUAAUUAUCAAAAAAUAAACUAGUACUAAUCUCAAUUGGUUAAAAACUGUGACAAAAGAUAACGGAACCGUAAAUCGAUAACUCGUGAAUGCUAGGUUUUUUAUCAAGUGGAGUACAUAUCCGGUUAUCUGUCCUUAUU